UGUCUGUAAAUAAGUCUGCUAUGGGCUCACUUGUAUGACAGCAAAGCCAUGUUUCUCAUAAUCCCCAUCUUCAUUUGCCUGCUUAGUCAUUACUGCUUCCCUGUGUCAUCCCAAUGGUCCUCUAUUGUUUUUAUUCCUUCCCAUGCCUGGAUUCUAGGAGUAUGACAAGGAAAAUGAACCAACUCACCAUGAGGGGAGGACGUACUUCUGCCCCCAAGACUACACCAAGAGAUUCAACUCUACCGGCAAUAGGUCUCCUCACCAUGCCAGACCCCAGUUUCCACACUGGCCAAGUCUAGAGCUCUACCAAUGUCAAAGGCUAUCAAGAAGACCAAAUUAAAUCAGAACUGCUGAAGCGCUGUGAGUAGCCAAACACGGUCAUCAAAGAAAGAUCUCAAAGACGAUAGAUGGAAAGGUGUGCAGACACAGAGAAAAAUGAAAGAGUAAGCCUGGAAUGGUUAGCCGCCAUGUAAGUGCUGAAAUGAAUGUGGAUCUUGGUGGGUACAAAAGGCAAGCCAAUUAUCACCUCUGGAACUUGGAAUCAAUUUGUAAGAUGGCUCAACUGCACCCCAGAUGCAUAAACAGAAGUCUAAGAGAUGGUUAUAAAACCCUUGGCUUUUACCCAAGUUACGGUGCUAUGUUAAGGUCAGGUUGAUCAGAGAAUCACUGUGCAAUAAUCUGAGUUUUCCCUUUGAGGGUGUUCAUGAGAUGCGAAACCCAGUGGGAUGGUGACACCUCUCACCCUGAAAACCUCCUGGGGAGAUUUCUUAGCCUAGCUUUAUGACAACUGUCCUCUGGUCUACGAGCUGAAAGAAAUCCAGUUGAUCACCAGCAUUGCCAUUAACAUUUGCACUCAGUGAAGCGGUUAUCCCCAGCUGUGAGGGGUACGUGGCAGGAUCUAUGAUUAUCAGAGUA